rnacentral:rRNA from 1 species
CUUAACACAUGCAAGUCGAGGGGCAGCAUGGUCUUAUCUUGCUAAGGCCGAUGGCGACCGGCGCACGGGUGAGUAACACGUAUCCAACCUGCCGUCUACUCUUGGACAGCCUUCUGAAAGGAAGAUUAAUACAAGAUGGCAUCAUGAGUCCACAUGUUCACAUGAUUAAAGGUAUUCCGGUAGACGAUGGGGAUGCGUUCCAUUAGAUAGUAGGCGGGGUAACGGCCCACCUAGUCUUCGAUGGAUAGGGGUUCUGAGAGGAAGGUCCCCCACAUUGGAACUGAGACACGGUCCAAACUCCUACGGGAGGCAGCAGUGAGGAAUAUUGGUCAAUGGGCGAGAGCCUGAACCAGCCAAGUAGCGUGAAGGAUGACUGCCCUAUGGGUUGUAAACUUCUUUUAUAAAGGAAUAAAGUCGGGUAUGGAUACCCGUUUGCAUGUACUUUAUGAAUAAGGAUCGGCUAACUCCGUGCCAGCAGCCGCGGUAAUACGGAGGAUCCGAGCGUUAUCCGGAUUUAUUGGGUUUAAAGGGAGCGUAGAUGGAUGUUUAAGUCAGUUGUGAAAGUUUGCGGCUCAACCGUAAAAUUGCAGUUGAUACUGGAUAUCUUGAGUGCAGUUGAGGCAGGCGGAAUUCGUGGUGUAGCGGUGAAAUGCUUAGAUAUCACGAAGAACUCCGAUUGCGAAGGCAGCCUGCUAAGCUGCAACUGACAUUGAGGCUCGAAAGUGUGGGUAUCAAACAGGAUUAGAUACCCUGGUAGUCCACACGGUAAACGAUGAAUACUCGCUGUUUGCGAUAUACAGCAAGCGGCCAAGCGAAAGCGUUAAGUAUUCCACCUGGGGAGUACGCCGGCAACGGUGAAACUCAAAGGAAUUGACGGGGGCCCGCACAAGCGGAGGAACAUGUGGUUUAAUUCGAUGAUACGCGAGGAACCUUACCCGGGCUUAAAUUGCAGAUGAAUUACGGUGAAAGCCGUAAGCCGCAAGGCAUCUGUGAAGGUGCUGCAUGGUUGUCGUCAGCUCGUGCCGUGAGGUGUCGGCUUAAGUGCCAUAACGAGCGCAACCCUUGUUGUCAGUUACUAACAGGUUCCGCUGAGGACUCUGACAAGACUGCCAUCGUAAGAUGUGAGGAAGGUGGGGAUGACGUCAAAUCAGCACGGCCCUUACGUCCGGGGCUACACACGUGUUACAAUGGGGGGUACAGAGGGCCGCUACCACGCGAGUGGAUGCCAAUCCCAAAAACCUCUCUCAGUUCGGACUGGAGUCUGCAACCCGACUCCACGAAGCUGGAUUCGCUAGUAAUCGCGCAUCAGCCACGGCGCGGUGAAUACGUUCCCGGGCCUUGUACACACCGCCCGUCAAGCCAUGGGAGCCGGGGGUACCUGAAGUGCGUAACCGCGAGGAGCGCCCUAGGGUAAAACUGGUGACUGGGGCUAAGA